rnacentral:lncRNA from 14 species
UAAUAAUGCUGAAGUUCCACAGAUUUGCAUUUCCAGCCGUUCCUCCAGAUGCGUGUUGUUAAGAUGGAUGCUGUUCCAGAGGAGACUGCCAACCUGGCAGUGCUGCUCCUUCUUCAGUGUGUCGCUCUGGGUCUGAGAACAGCAGCUCUGCUGACCAGCUCCACCAGCACUCUGUGUCAAGGGAAAGAGAUAAACUCCUGGAGAAUCCUGAAGUCUAUGCAGAGACCAAAGGGAUCAUCCCUCUGCUGA